rnacentral:rRNA from 1 species
UACGUAGGGUGCAAGCGUUGUCCGGAAUCAUUUGGGACGUAAAGAGCUCGUAGGCGGUCUGUCGCGUCUGCUGUGAAAACCUGGGGCUUAACCCUGGGCUUGCAGUGGGUACGGGCAGACUAGAGUGCGGUAGGGGGAGACUGGAAUUCCUGGUGUAGCGGUGAAAUGCGCAGAUAUCAGGAGGAACACCGGUGGCGAAGGCAGGUCUCUGGGCCGAUACUGACGCUGAGGAGCGAAAGCGUGGGGAGCGAACAGG